rnacentral:lncRNA from 1 species
CUAACAUGUCAGGAUGACCAAGUUGUCCCUGUAAGAGGAGUAGCAUGGAGUAGCAAAAAAGAGCAAGAAUCAAAAGGAAGUGGAGAGGCUACACAGACCCAGGCUCCCACGAACCCCCUGUGCCCCCUGGUUUUCGGAAAUGUUGCUCUUUGGCCCAGCAGCCCAAGCCCGGGCCCAGGCAUCCCGGCCCUGUUAGGUGCAGCUGGUCUCGGGCCCGUCUCAGGUAAGUAACGGGCACGUUGGGCUGCAAUUUCUAUUCCUGAAUAGGCCUCCUAUCUCAGAGUCAUGCUUCAACAAACACUCAAUUAA